rnacentral:tRNA from 1 species
GCUUCCGUCGCAUAAUGGUAUUGCACUGGACUUGAAAUCCAGACCUUUCGGGGUACCCAGGUUCGAUUCCUGGCGGGAGCA